rnacentral:rRNA from 1 species
UACGAAGGGGGCUAGCGUUGUUCGGAAUUACUGGGCGUAAAGCGCACGUAGGCGGAUUGUUAAGUCAGAGGUGAAAAUCCCGGAGCCCAACUUCGGAACUGCCUUUGAUACUGGCAAUCUAGAGUCCGGAAGAGGUUAGUGGAAUUCCUAGUGUAGAGGUGAAAUUCGUAGAUAUUAGGAAGAACACCCGUGGCGAAAGGCGG